CUCUGGGUAUUAAUCUGCUGAGCUGGUGGCCACCUAAAUACAAUCGUCCUGUUCCCCUCAUUGGUCUCUCCGGUCUCCUGAUUCCAGCCACAUUUUGGUGAGCCAGCCAGGAGUGAAGACGACAGGUUUGCUGUCUCCUUUGCCUGUGGGUCUGGGGCCCCAGCCUGGGGGAGACCCGUGACUCCAGGCAUGCUAUCAGGACAACUUCAACCCGAGGGGAGAUCAGCUCUCCCGCAACCUGGUGCCGCUCUCUGACAGCACAACAGAACCUAAGGGGCUACAGGAUGAUUCAAGGAACAGUGUGCUACAGGACCUCGGUAUUCCUGCUGAGAGUCAUUUCCUGUGCUGGAUUUACCAUCACAGGGACCAGAUUUAUAGAAAAAUGAACAUGUAUUGUUGCUAAAUGGAGUUGGUCAUGGAGUGGAAACUAACAAUAUGUUCACCUCAAGAAGACCCUCACCAGAUGCAGCCCCUCUAUGUUGGACUUCCCAGCCUCCGGAAGUUAGAAAUGUGCUACAACCACUCAAGGUCUGCAAACAGAUUCCUAUUUAGAUGUUGUUGAGAGCUCCCACAAAUGACUGAGAACAUGACAAAUUUGUCAUUCUGAUACUCUGAACCAGACCUCCAGUUUCAUUUAUGUUGUUGUAAAUGACAGGGUGUCUUUUGAAAAGUCUACACAAACUAUUUAGUUUUUAACCUCAAGGAACUAAAAAACAAAUGAACAAACAAACAAAAAAACUAAGCCAAAA
rnacentral:lncRNA from 1 species